rnacentral:tRNA from 1 species
GGUACCUUGGAUGAGUGGUUGAGUCACCAGUCUGCAAAACUGUGUACGGCGGUUCGAAUCCGCCAGGUACCU